rnacentral:lncRNA from 10 species
AGUUAAAUAAAAAAAGCUAUUUAGAAUAGUUUAUGCUGGCCAGGCACUGUGGCUUCUGCCUGUAAUCCAAGCACUUUGGGAGACUGUGGUGGGCAGAUUGCCUGAGCUCAGUAGUUUGAGAAUAGACCAGCUUGUGCAACAUGGGGAAACCCAGUCUUUACACACACACACACCUGGGCAACAUGGCGAAACCCAGUCUCUACACACACAAACACACACCUGGGCAACAUGGUGAAACCCAGUCCCUACACACACACACACACACACAUGCACACACCUGGGCAACAUGGUGAAACCCAGUCCCUACACACACAGAC